UAGAGUUUCCAGUCUCUCUCAUCACCUCCUGAAUCUACAGAUGAUCCCAUCAUUCCCUUCAGUUCUCUCUUCUCUUUUGAUGGUGUGAGAGAAUCUGUCCGUCAGCUGAGAGACAAACGGGAGGAUUUCUGCAAAAAGGGCCUCAAAAAGAUCUCAGACAGAGUCACAUUCAACACCUUUGUUCCCUGGACCAGGAAUGACUUCCUACAAUAUUCACAUCAGCUCACUCUGGAUCUGAACACAGUGAAUAAACGCCUUUGUCUGGCUGCAAGGAACAGACUGAUUACGUAUACUGACAAAGUCCAGCCGUAUCCUGAUCAUCCUGACAGAUUCGAUGAAUAUAAUCCUCA